rnacentral:rRNA from 1 species
AUUGCCUACGGGGGGCAGCAGUAGGGAAUCUUCCACAAUGGGCGAAAGCCUGAUGGAGCAACGCCGCGUGGGUGAAGAAGGUCUUCGGAUCGUAAAACCCUGUUGUUAGAGAAGAAAGUGCGUGAGAGUAACUGUUCACGUUUCGACGGUAUCUAACCAGAAAGCCACGGCUAACUACGUGCCAGCAGCCGCGGUAAUACGUAGGUGGCAAGCGUUAUCCGGAAUGAUUGGGCGUAAUGGGUGCGUAGGCGGUCGAUUAAGUCUGGAGUGAAAGGUACCGGCUCAACCGGUAUAGGCUCCGGAAA